AUCCAACUGACAAGUCCCAAAUAGGACGAAACUGGUGUUCUGGAU
rnacentral:hammerhead_ribozyme from 1 species